UGUGAGAGAGAGAGAGAGUGUGUGAGUGUAUGUGUGUGUGUGUGUGAGCAACACAAACUGCUAGUUGGUGUUUUUGACAGGAAGCCCACCCGAGUCCCUCUGCAUGAAGCCCCGCCUCUUUCGCCCCACCAUCCAAUCAGAUUCUGCAAUGGAGCGGUUUACAAACCUCAUCUCUCUCUCUCUCUCUCACACAAACACACACACACACACACACUGCCCUGGGAAAUAUGAAUCCAGAAGACAAAGAGACGCUUGGGUUUGUGGCGCCGUUGACUGUUUCCCGUCUGGAUUAAUGUUUUGACUCGAAGCUUCGAUUCCUGAUUCUGUGGCGGCGCUCUGCUCUUUCUCCGGCAGGACGGCCGUCGUGCUCCGGGGCCGCACUUGUGUUCAUACUUUCUGUUCAGGGAAACGUACCGAUGUACAGACAUCCAGCGAACUGUCCAAAAACUCGCAACUGCUUGAGCGCAAGAUAAACACGCGGUCGUCAUGGAGAUGUGCCGCAGCCGUUUCUGUGGCCACACGCUGCUCGAAAUACAUCUUCAUCAUCAUCAUCAUCGUCGUCACAGUUAGUCCACUUGCCUAUUUUCGCAAUAAAAGUAGAUGGUGAAAUAUUUUUAAAAAUAUUUAAAUUAAUUUAAAAGAAAAGCAGUUCUCUGAUGUUGUGACAGUGACAGAGUUUAGUCGUAACAAGGUGAUUGUGUUUCGUCUAUUCUGAGAUGUUUUAUUUCCUUUGUUUUGGUUUUAGUUCAGUUGUCUCCUCCUUCAUGACAUUGCCUCGUGCUGCUCUGUGAGGACUCGUGUGACAGUCAUGGAUUUUAUUGAAGAUUUUUGCAAUAAUAGCGAUUACGCUGAUGAACUUUUGCACCGGAAGCUCCUGAUGUGUCUCACGCUGACUGUUCUUCCCAACUCCACAACUGCGUUCUUGUUUUUCAUGACAGAUUUAAUAAAGUUGUAAAUUAAUGGA